rnacentral:rRNA from 1 species
UACGGAGGGUGCGAGCGUUGUUCGGAAUCACUGGGCGUAAAGGGCGUGUAGGCGGUCCUCUAAGUCUGAUGUGAAAGCCCGGGGCUCACCCCCGGAAGGGCAUUGGAAACUGACGGACUCGAGUCCGGAAGAGGAGGGUGGAAUUCCUGGUGUAGCGGUGAAAUGCGUAGAUAUCAGGAGGAACACCGGUGGCGAAGGCGGCCCUCUGGACGGUGACUGACGCUGAGACGCGAAAGCGUGGGGAGCAAACAGG